rnacentral:rRNA from 1 species
AUUGAACGCUGGCGGCAGGCAUAACACAUGCAAGUCGAACGAGUGGCGGACGGGUGAGUAAUGUCUGGGAAACUGCCCGAUGGAGGGGGAUAACUAAUGGAAACGGUAGCUAAUACCGCAUACCAUCGGAUGUGCCCAGAUGGGAUUAGCUAGUAGGUGGGGUAACGGCUCACCUAGGCGACGAUCCCUAGCUGGUCUGAGAGGAUGACCAGCCACACUGGAACUGAGACACGGUCCAGACUCCUACGGUAGGCAGCAGUGGGGAAUAUUGCCAAAUGGGCGCAAGCCUGAUGCAGCCAUGCUGCGUGUAUGAAGAAGGCCUUCGGGUUGUAAAGUACUUUCAGCGGGGAGGCGUUACCCGCAGAAGAAGCACCGGCUAACUCCGUGCCAGCCGCCGCGGUAAUUC